UAUUCUGGUUAGUCACAUUGUACUGCUAUUAUUUUGAACAAUACUGUAUAUAUAUAUAUAGCAAUCAUGAUUAUGAUGGUAAAACUAAUUUUAUUGACUUGGAAAUUUCACUGGAAAUAUUUAUUUUUAUAUAAAUAAAGAGCUGUAUUUCUUUAGUCAAUUAUUUAAGUAUUACAUGUUACAUUGUAUUGAUUUUAAGAACAAGUGGAAAAUGUGUUUAAUGUUUCAUUACAUUCUAGUGAAAUUAGCAAGCAGUUUGACUGGACUUACAUUCGUUUUAAACGUGGAGCCAGGCGCGAGUCGACACAGGUUGCGACAUGUGCCAGAUGCGCUCGUGGGAUUUGCGGGGCAAGGCCGUGUGAGAAUAUAACCGAGUGUUACGAAACAGGCUGCGUGAGUGCGGCAAGUGUGAACGGCUCCGGGCGAGUAUGAGAAGCAUUUAGAGACACAGGCUGUGUGUGCGGUCUUCUGAAUGGGGAAUAGCGAACAUGUUCUUGACAUGCAUUGUGACGCAGCUCUAGUAAAUUAUCUUUUUUGUUCGUUGUCUGUCUUUUCAAAGCCUAAAGUUUUUCUUUACUUUUAAUUUGUCUAACUAUUGACCUAAAUGUAGAUGCCAUAAUCCCACUCUGUCUCUGUCCUGCUUUCAGUUUUUUUUUUUUUUUUUAAUGGUGGGCAUUUACACAGUUGGCUAGAGCGGUGCUGAUUGGGGAGAACAGAGCUGCCCUCAAAUCUAUUGGGUAGCAAGAUUGUCACUCAAUGCUGACAGUCAUGCAUAUGCUCUGGAACGGAGUAAUAUCACGUCCACGUCACAGGCUUAAUUAAUAAAUCGCAACGUCUCAAAUAGCUAUUUCAAUUAGAUUUCGAUUAAUCGCACAGCCCUAUUUUAAACUUUACAUUGCAAAUGCUUUGCGCAUACACCGCGUUAGCACUCAUUAGCUUGUCAUUCACUUUUCCACUUGUGCUUCUAUUCGCAUCUACUACCGAUUUUUUUUUUCUCUUGCCUCAUUUCUUUUAUCUCACACGCCAUUGGCAAAAGAGUUUCUUCUGCAGUAAGCCACGUAAUGUCCAAGAGAUUCUCUUGUUGGUCCUGGAAUGAAUGCGACAACCCCUCGCAAAGUGAACAGCUGAUUGUCCAGCUCAAUGUCGACAGGGAUUUCAGGCAGUGGAUGGUUAGUAUCUAAACUUGUUUCAAUACACAGCAGUUGUCGAGGUAUGAAUCUGUGUGUGACCGAGCCAUUGCAGAGGAAUUUCAUUGAUGGAUCAUCCUAAAUUUUCCAGCUAUCUGGACACUCUUGUGGUGAUUUCAGUGGCUUCAGACACUUGGACCUGCAUUUUUGCCCUCCUUCCAUAAGCAUCUUUUCCAACUCCUUUUGUGACUAUGGUCUUCACCAAAUCAAACAUUUCAUUUUUUGUGUGUUCUUUGUUGAGAUAAUGACUGAAAGAUCCACUGUCACAGAAUGCAGAGCAAAGGCACUGGCAAAAGGAAUCAAAGGCACAGGUUUAUGUUACAAUUGAAGAGACAAUUUGCAGAGGGGGUCGGAGUCGAGGAGACGCUUCACACAGAUCUGAAAACAUGGGUUACAGAAAUCUGUGAAGAAAGUAAGAUGAUUGCAGCACAUCAUGGUGACAGAGACAAUCUUCAUUUUCUUCCGGAGCUUGUCCCAAAUAUAAUAAGAAUGGUAAAUGGUAAUCUUCAGUGACACAAGGCAAGACCCCCUCUGCAAAUCGUCUCUACAAUUGUGCUUUGCAUGUUUCUGAGACUACAGGUAAACCUUUGUCAUCGUUUCCUUCUGAUUCACUGAAGGCAAUAACUGCAAUUGAAUUAAUAAGCUCCCUUGCAUCUUCCAGUGUAUCAGACUGUAAAAGUUGUGCCAUGGAUCGUAGAUAAAAUUCUCUAACUGGCCCAUCGGCUAAUGAGCUUGAUACAGUGUGCAACAUCUACUCUGAUGAAGCAGAGUGGUAGCUUUGAGUCUUCGGGCUUCCCUGCCAGCACUCCAAUGCACUGAUUGAUGUAUGUUUUCAAGUCUGGGUAAGGAGUGAAGGCCUUAACCAGUGCUCCAACCAAAGCCAAGGAGAAAUCACAGACUGCUUCUUUGGGCACAGCAGCACCUGCGCGUUUCCAUUCAGUAAGCCAGUUGGCAAUAGAAUUGAUGGUGUGGCUCUCUGAUAGCAUUUGCACUACUGGAAUAUGAUCUCCCUGUGAACACAAAACUCCUUGAUACAGGAAGACAUGUCCAGAAUUGCCACAGGGUCUUCUCAUUCUUUUCACAACUCAACCUGUUGCAUCAAAACUCAUAAAUGAACCAGAGUACUUGGAUUUCAUUUGAUACACUUGCAUCUGAGAUGGGGUCCAGUAAUGGCAAAAAAAAAAACCUAUUAAGGCCUAUGUCAUGAAUGCUUCCAUUGUGGGGUACACUGUAUUUUAGUAGAUGCAAUGACAUGAUUGGUUCUGUGUCUCCUAGCUCUUUGUCACCCAUCUCUUGUUUGCCUUUUCUAAAUGUUGCCAGAUUUGGCAGGUGGCUAGGCUCUGGGUCACCAACAUCCAUCAUUUUGUAAGCCUCAGUUGCUCGCCAUACAUGUGCUGGUUUUCGGCCUUCCCAGAGUUCUUUGGACACACAUGUUCUCAGAUCCCCUGAUAACCUCCAUUUUGCUUUGCCAGUAUGGAGACUGUCAUCAACAUUGCGGAUUAUGCAUUGAAGCACAACUGGUUCAUUAUCCACUGGCAUAUUCUCUGCUGUUAUAGACAAUUGUGCGUCACACUCUGUGCAGUGCCCAAUAACGUCUAUGUAGUGAGAUGCAACAAUUGGAAAGAUUUUUGCCCUCCUAAAUCUAAGAGUGCAUGAGGUCUUGAUAUUUUUCCAUAUCCCCUCAUACAGGACGUUCGUCCAUGCACCACGUUUCUGGAUGGUGUAUUCUCUUUUACAUGUGUUGAGUGAUUUGUCAUUGUAAUCAACUUUUUCAGGCCAGAUUUCUACCCAUUUUUGAUGAGAGAUUGAUCUCAAAUGUAAUGUCGUAGCAUUGACUGCUUUGUGACUGCCUUUGACGCUGCUGAAUGAAAAUCUGCUGAGCUUUCUUGUGAGCUGUUACAGUUUGGACCUUGAUCUUGGGUGUUUGUGUCGAUUCUGCAUAGCUAAAGGAUUUGCCAUAUAUUGUCCCUGUUUGUCUUCACAAUAGUAUAAAGGUUCUUUGGUGAAACUUUGUUAUUUAGUUGUUUGCUUAAAUCUGCCCACACCGUUUCUGUGGGAACUGCGAUGUUUGUUCCUGUAAUAAUCUGUUCCUUUGCAGCACUGAUGACUUCCACAGGCUGGUUUCCUAGGCAUCUGAUCAAAGCAGGAAUUAUUUUUAAUGUAGUUUUAAUAAAGUAGUUGGGCCAAAUGAAUAAGCAUGAAUCGGUUUGAAUAAGCAUGUAACCUGUUGGUAACAAGUAUAUAUAUAAAUUUUAUUACUUUCCUCCAUGGAAUCGAGAUGAGAUUGAGAUGAUCAUGCAAAAUGAUAAGGAGUGAUAUACUUAGUCGCCAUUCACUUAAACUGCAUCUUUUUUUCCAAAUCCGCUCAAGUAAAUGAUGGCUUAAAUAAAAGCAGGCAAUACAACUU